AACGAACGCUGGCGGCAGGCUUAACACAUGCAAGUCGAACGCCCCGCCAGGGGAGUGGCAGACGGGUGGGUAACGCGUGGGAACAUACCCUUUUCUACGGAAUAGCUCUGGGAAACUGGAAUUAAUACCGUAUACGCCCUACGGGGGAAAGAUUUAUCGGGGAAGGAUUGGCCCGCGUGGGAUUAGCUAGUUGGUGGGGUAAAGGCCCACCAAGGCGACGAUCCAUAGAUGGUCUGAGAGGAGGAUCAGCCACACGGGAACUGAGACACGGUCCAGACUCCUGCGGGAGGCAGCAGUGGGGAAUAUUGGACAACGGGCGCAAGCCUGAUACAGCAAUACCGCGUGGGUGAAGAAGGCCUUCGGGUUGUAAAGACAUUUUGUUGGGAAAGAAAAGCAGCAGGUUAAUACCCCGCUGUUCUGACGGUACCCAAAGAAUAAGCACCGGCUAACUUCGUG
rnacentral:rRNA from 1 species